CCUACGGGAGGCAGCAGUGGGGAAUAUUGGGCAAUGGGCGAAAGCCUGACCCAGCAACGCCGCGUGAAGGAAGAAGGCCCUCGGGUUGUAAACUUCUUUUAUCAGGGACGAAUAAAGUGACGGUACCUGAUGAAUAAGCCACGGCUAACUACGUGCCAGCAGCCGCGGUAAUACGUAGGUGGCAAGCGUUAUCCGGAUUUACUGGGUGUAAAGGGCGUGUAGGCGGGACUGCAAGUCAGAUGUGAAAACCAGAGGCUCAACCUCUGGCCUGCAUUUGAAACUGUAGUUCUUGAGUGUUGGAGAGGCAGGCGGAAUUCCGUGUGUAGCGGUGAAAUGCGUAGAUAUACGGAGGAACACCAGUGGCGAAGGCGGCCUGCUGGACAAUAACUGACGCUGAGGCGCGAAAGCGUGGGGAGCAAACAGGAUUAGAUA
rnacentral:rRNA from 1 species